rnacentral:rRNA from 1 species
UGGGGAAUAUUGCGCAAUGGGCGAAAGCCUGACGCAGCGACGCCGCGUGGGUGAUGAAGGCCUUCGGGUCGUAAAGCCCUGUCGGGAGGGAAGAAAUCUCAUCGGCCUAAUAUGCCGAUGACUUGACAGUACCUCUUAAGGAAGCACCGGCUAACUCCGUGCCAGCAGCCGCGGUAAUACGGAGGGUGCAAGCGUUGUUCGGAAUCACUGGGCGUAAAGCGCGUGUAGGCGGCCAUCUAAGUCUGGUGUGAAAGCCCUGGGCUCAACCCAGGAAGUGCACUGGAUACUGGAUGGCUAGAGUACCGGAGAGGAGGGUGGAAUUCCUGGUGUAGCGGUGAAAUGCGUAGAUAUCAGGAGGAACACCGGUGGCGAAGGCGUCCCUCUGGCCGGAUACUGACGCUGAGACGCGAAAGCGUGGGGAGCAAACAGGAUUAGAUACCCUGGUAGUCCACGCCAUAAACGAUGGGUACUAGGUGUUCGGGGUAUUGACCCCCUGAGUGCCGCAGCUAACGCAUUAAGUACCCCGCCUGGGGAAUACGGCCGCAAGGUUA